rnacentral:sRNA from 1 species
GAAGGAGAAGGAGUAGAA